AUUUGUCCUGGCUUGUUAGAAAGCAUCCCAGAAUGAGUCAGAGUGAAGAUCAGGGUUGUUCUAGUCAUCAAAGGCUUACAAAACAGUAUUAAAAACAAAUUGCGGAAGAAUGGGAAUGGUGAAAGAGAAUUGAAGGAAACAGGCUGCCAUGAUCUCAAACAUUCUUCAAACCAGCUGUGUGAUGUGGACAGUACCAGUCCUUCAGCAGCGUCCACCGACUGUCCACCAAGAGAAGAGCUGCAAUUCAUGGGUCACCUCACAUAGGUGGCAAAAACCCUGGGAAACCACACAGCUGAGAG